UUCUCUGCUCACUCAGAAGAGAUCCGACACCAGCACUUUGUCUGGACUGCCUGUGAGCCGUUUCCACCAAGGUUUUAGUUUUAUGCUGGUGAAGAUUUCUGGACAGUUUCUGGCAAUGAGUUUUCUUCUUUUUCACCAGCAUAACACACAUGAACACACAGGCAUGCAUUCACACACACACACACACCUCCCUUCUCUUAAGUAGGGCAAAAUGUUAAGUGACAUGAAUUCCUGUAACUCUGGACACUUUCCGGCAACAAACUUUCUUCUUUUUCAGCAGCAUAACCAACAUGCACACACAGGCAUGUACACACACAAAUACACAGAGACCUCCUCUUAAAGUAGGGCAAAAUCCAAGGUUCUGUUGUCCUUGCAGGUGAAUUAAGCGGUCUGUGUUGAGCGACAUGAAUUCCUUUACCGCGUGGCGUUCCAAAGGUGAUUCUCACCCGGGUGUUGCCUGUGCUGUGGCUCUCCUCUACGCCCAAGAAACAGGUCUGCAUCCAGGCUUGGUGGGAAUUUCCACUACAGAAAAAGAAUCAAAUACCCUAGCCACUAUGCCAUGAAAUGCAACCUCUGGCUCCGCAACCUCUCUGAGUUGCUGAAUUCUUCCUUCCAAGUUGCUCGCCAACUACCAGACUCUCUGCGCCAGAUCAGCCAUCACCAUUAUCCUCGUCUCUGAAAAUUGUUCUGUCAAUGAAAUGAUCUACCAUGAAGGACAUCUGUGGAAACAGUCUGUGACGAGAGCCCAUGAAUAAUUUCCACGUGCUCCUGCCAGUCUUUUAAGCUGCAUGUCCUUGAGUCACAGAGACAUGGCUGGGCAGCUGAAAGCAUCACCGAGUAUUCCGUGGACACCACAGUUCACUCAAGUGUUAACUGCUCACAAGGAUACACAACCAGCCUCCCCCAAACAUGAGGCGAUCCAACUGUGUUCUUCCCAUGAGAAGCCAAAGGCAUCUCUCCCCAAGCACAAAGUAGUAAAGAGCCCUGGAUGCCUGGUUCCUAUUCCUGGGAGCGUAUGCAAUUACUCUGUCACCCUGGUCAAUCCCCGCAGGAGCCGACCAUGCGAGCCCAUUAAGAGAACAGUUCAGUCCCACCUGCCUCCUGGAGCCAGCCAACAAUCUCAGCUUCAGCACUCCAUGCUUGAUUAUGUACAGCCAUUGCAAUCCUGAGUGGCAGGAUUUGCAAAGACAGCUGUUGGGCUCCACAAACAUUUGGAGGAGGAGGGGGAAAUGUGAGUUAUAUCAGGGGAAUCCCAAAUGCACAGUGCAUUUAUAUUGGGAGCGAGGUUAUGACAAACUCUGGCCUUGACAGUCCUGAGAGAGAACUGCUGAGUGAAUUAAAGUCCACUUGGAGAGAAGUGGCUAAUGGAUGCUGACGGACUUGGUCCUUGGUCCCAUACCUGACAAGGGAUCACAAAACCGAGGAGGACAGGUGAGAAACUGGAGAAGAUAAAAGGAACCGUCAAUAGGUCAAAAUGACGAGCUAUUAGCAGACCCAAGACCUCAGUCAAGGCUGGAUGUCAUUGCUAAAAAAAAAGCUUCCUAAGAAUUUUGCAUUGGUUAUUCAUAUCACAUAUGAAGAAUGUCAUUCAUUUUAAGGAAACAAAAUUAAAUAAAAACGUUGAAGAGGGUCUAGAGAAAGGGUCCGGAGAAAGAUGAUCAGGAGAGUAGAGGGGCUGGAAGCCAAGCAAUAAAAGGCACAGUUGACUAAGUGGUAAGUACUUAACAUGAAAAAUAGAAGAUUUGCGUAGAUAGGGGAGAUGUCUUUAAAUAAAGACCUAGCAUGAACUGGAAGCUAUAAGCAAACAGAUUUUAAUCCUAAACAAAUUUCCCAACAAUAGAAGUUUCAUGACAAAGAAAGGAAGAGAAAGCUCCGAAGGACUGAGCUCUUUCCUCAUGAGAAGAACUCAAGCAGAUGCAGUCAGCCAUCCACGAGGGUUGUUCCUGAGUGAAAUUCUGCUUUUGAAGACAUCUGGCCUAGUUGAGGGAUUUUUUUUUUCUUUCUUUUCUUUCUGUUUUAGCUACGCCAGUGCUAUGCACAAGUUCUCGGGCCAGGGUUCAAACCUUCUACCCCAGUAGUGUCAACAUCAGCUAGGCCACCAAGGAACUCCCCAAAUUGAGGAAUUUUUAAUUUGAGGUCCAUAGGUGAAUGUCAUGAAGUCUUUGAAUCCUUAAAAAUUAUAUGCAAAUACACACACACACACACACACACACAUAUCAGAUGUCUAUAUAUGAAGUGCCCCCUCCCCUGGGAGAUGGUGCAUAUAUCUCUUCAGAUGCUCAAAGUAGUUCUAUAAAACCUGUGAACCAAAAAAUGGAAUCGCUUCCAAUUCUGCAAUGCUAUUAUUCUGUUUUGCAAAACUAGCCUCACCGUUCACAGAGGUGCUCCCAACAGAAUUAUGUGAUUGAUUUAAUGUUAGGCACAAAGGAGAAUGAACAAUUGGGGAAAACUUUUAAGGUUUUGAGCCUAGUUACUGAGAAGCUAUUGAUACCAUUGAGAGAUAAAUAAAAGGAAGGUGAAGCAAGAAGUCCAUUAUCAGGGGAAGAUAAUAAGUAGAAAUAAAUGGACAGACUGAAGCCUAAGAUUCUAGUACUAAGCAUACUAAGCGCGUAGUCCAAAAAUUCUUUUACUUCAUGGUAGAAAAAUGCUGAAAGCUAGAGAUGUACAAAUAGAGAAGAAGCUACUUGAAAUUUGGAACGAUGAAAUACUGUAACUCAAACUAGUCUAGAGAUCACUUAUUUCAAACCUUUAAUGUUAUAACUGCAGAAACCACAUCUCAGAAAAACUAAGAAACGUACCCUCUAUCAUGGCACCCUGGAUGCCCAUCCAAGUUCACAUUUACAAAUUUCAGGGGGAAAAAAAUCCAGAUUUGUAAAAUAUUCAAAUCUGGAAUAAAGAUACCACUUAAAAUUUCCAGGGAAGGUUAACCACAUAUGAUACACAAAGGUCCACUCUGUUAUGGUAUAAGGUAAGACCACAACACUGCCACUGCCCCGUAAGAGUUAAAAGAGUUUUAAGUAUGAAUUACACGCUUCAGCAUGCUCUGUGAUGUUUCCAUAGUAUUUUUAACCUUAGUCUUCAUAGUCUGAUUUACCUCAGGAAAAUUACAUGGUUCUUAAACUAUAAAGAACAGAGAAGCACAUGGCUGUGCCAUUCAGUGUUAGUCAAUUAGCCACACAAGUCUUGGGGUGGGGGGCAG